AUUUAAAUAGCUCGCCAAAACGCUAUUUUGACAAUAUGGCGCUGCAAUGGGCUCCGUGACGUCACUUGCCAGUAGUUAGAUCUGUGGCAUCUGUUAUCCACAUACAUUUGUUGUAAACAAAAAACGAAAGUGUGAUUAAAACAGUGAUUUAUAUAAUAAAAUGAGUUACAAUUGGUGUACAGUUCCAAAAUGUACAAAUACGUCCAUAAAAACUCCAGAAAAACUAUUCGUAAGUGUUCCCAAGCAUGUCAAAGUGCGCCGAAAGUGGUUGCAACUUUCUCGGAGGGAUCAUCAUAAUUACAUAGCGUAUAGUACAAAUAUUUUCUUCUGUGAAGACCAUUUUGAUAUGGAAAAUGACAUGGCAAAUUACUACCAAUAAAAAAUGGGUUUCAGCCGGAAAAUAAAAAUAAAUAAUAUAAAUAUAAAAUAAAUAAAUAAAGUGCACAUUAGAAGCAAGAGAGUGCAAACUAAGUCCCUGACAAGAGAUAAAGCUCUUUCUCCUCUCAAACCUACUGUUUUGUCUAGUUACACUUCUCCAUUGAAGAUUACUUCAUGCUUUUGUCAUAAUAUAAAGCCAUCUGCAUCUGGUGCUAUUGAUAUAAAGAAAAGGAUCAACUUUAUCGAUGAGGAAGUUUCAGAGAGUGAUGUAUCUUUAUAUAAAGAAAAUCCUUGACAACAAGAUUCUUCCUCACUUACAGCGACUCCAUCAAAGGCUGAAUCCAGUACGAG
rnacentral:misc_RNA from 1 species